rnacentral:rRNA from 1 species
GACUUCUGAUUGUAUCCUGAGUAGGGCGGGGCACGUGAAACCCUGUCUGAAUCUGCCGGGACCAUCCGGUAAGGCUAAAUACUAACCAGACACCGAUAGUGAACUAGUACCGUGAGGGAAAGGUGAAAAGAACCCCGGGAGGGGAGUGAAAUAGAUUCUGAAACCAUUUACUUACAAUUAGUCAGAGCCCGUUAAUGGGUGAUGGCGUACAUCUUGCAGUAUGGACCGGCGAGUUAUGUUAACAU